GAGUCAGUGAAGCGCGAAAGGAUCGCGCGUUGGACAUCUAAUCCAAAGGUCGUGGGUUUAAAUCCCACCCUGAAUCC